CUACCCGCUGAACUUAAGCAUAUCAAUAAGCGGAAGAAA
rnacentral:rRNA from 1 species